rnacentral:rRNA from 1 species
UACGUAGGGGGCAAGCGUUGUCCGGAUUUAUUGGGUUUAAAGGGUGCGUAGGCGGCUUUGUAAGUCAGUGGUGAAAUACUCCAGCUUAACUGGAGGGGUGCCAUUGAUACUGCGGAGCUUGAGUACAGAUGAGGUAGGCGGAAUUGACGGUGUAGCGGUGAAAUGCAUAGAUAUCGUCAAGAACACCGAUAGCGAAGGCAGCUUACUGGGCUGUAACUGACGCUGAUGCACGAAAGUGUGGGGAUCAAACAGG